rfam:Schistosoma curassoni strain Dakar, Senegal genome assembly, scaffold: SCTD_scaffold0000592
AUCCAGCUGACGCGUCUCAAACGGGAUGAAACUCGCGUCCUGGAU